AAGUCAUUUUGGGGGCAAUUCCUUAUCAACCCCUUGUAGUGUUCUCAUGCUUCAUAAAGUGACUCCCCCAGUUUUUGCUCGAAAUUUGCUAUAGCUUUCUUGAAUUU